rnacentral:rRNA from 1 species
CGAACGAUGAAGCCCAGCUUGCUGGGUGGAUUAGUGGCGAACGGGUGAGUAACACGUGAGUAACCUGCCCUUAACUCUGGGAUAAGCCUGGGAAACUGGGUCUAAUACCGGAUAGGAGCGUCCACCGCAUGGUGGGUGUUGGAAAGAUUUAUCGGUUUUGGAUGGACUCGCGGCCUAUCAGCUUGUUGGUGAGGUAAUGGCUCACCAAGGCGACGACGGGUAGCCGGCCUGAGAGGGUGACCGGCCACACUGGGACUGAGACACGGCCCAGACUCCUACGGGAGGCAGCAGUGGGGAAUAUUGCACAAUGGGCGAAAGCCUGAUGCAGCGACGCCGCGUGAGGGAUGACGGCCUUCGGGUUGUAAACCUCUUUCAGUAGGGAAGAAGCGAAAGUGACGGUACCUGCAGAAGAAGCACCGGCUAACUACGUGCCAGCAGCCGCGGUAAUACGUAGGGUGCGAGCGUUAUCCGGAAUUAUUGGGCGUAAAGAGCUCGUAGGCGGUUUGUCGCGUCUGUCGUGAAAGUCCGGGGCUUAACCCCGGAUCUGCGGUGGGUACGGGCAGACUAGAGUGCAGUAGGGGAGACUGGAAUUCCUGGUGUAGCGGUGGAAUGCGCAGAUAUCAGGAGGAACACCGAUGGCGAAGGCAGGUCUCUGGGCUGUAACUGACGCUGAGGAGCGAAAGCAUGGGGAGCGAACAGGAUUAGAUACCCUGGUAGUCCAUGCCGUAAACGUUGGGCACUAGGUGUGGGGACCAUUCCACGGUUUCCGCGCCGCAG